rnacentral:rRNA from 1 species
CCAUAUCAACCUGCAGCCCAAGACCGGUUACUCACUGAGCUAAGCAGGGCUGAGCCUGGUCAGUACCUGGAUGGGAGACCACAUGGGAAAACUAGGCUG